AACAACGCCUAGUCGCGACCGAAUCCACCCAGCGCCUCCGGAGCUGACUUCCCAUUUUCUUCCCGUCAAAAACCACAGUCCCUCCCAAAACAAAACCAUUCCCCCACCCUCUCAAUUAAAACAACCAUCAAAAACAGCUCCUACUCAUUUUCUCUCUCCUCCCACCGGCAAACCUCGACGGAUCUUCUUCGAGAGUCCAACAAUGGCGGAAACUCAGCCAGCAAGCGGAGCAGCAUUCUGGGAAACUGUCUUAGAACUCACCAAGUCAGCUCAAGAGAAGAAUAUUGACCCUCUCGCCUGGGCGAUUCAACUAGGCGCCACCCUCAACUCUGCUGGGUUGACUCUUCCCUCUGUCGAACUCUCUCAUCUAUUGGUCUCUCAUAUUUGCUGGAAUAACAAUAAUCAAACUACUUGGAAGUUUCUUGAAAAGGCCCUGGUUCUUAAAUUUGUUCCUCCUAUGCUUGUUCUUGCUUUGCUCUCCACUAGGGUGAUUCCAAGUCGAAGUUUGCAUCCUGCUGCCUAUAGACUCUAUAUGGAACUUCUUAAAAGAUAUGGCUCUUCUUUUGCAUUUCAACUGCAUGCAUCAAACCAUGAGAAAAUCUUGAAAGCCGUAGAUGAUGCCCUACAUCUUUCAGAUCUUUUUGGGAUUCAACCUUUUGAUCCUGCUGUUCUUUCAGUGCUUUUUGUAUUUUCAAAUGUGUGGCAGUUGGUUGAUGCAUCUUUGGAUGAUGAAGCGUUGCUGGAAUACAGUACAGAUAAGAGUUCUAGAUGGCUGACAGAGAUACAAACUAUGGAUAUUGAUGAUAGUGGCCACUUUCCGGAAAACAGAACAGAAUUCCAAGAGGGAAUGUUUAAAACGAAUACCUUGAUGGCUAUUGAGAUGAUAGUGGAAUAUUUGCAAAGCAGGGUAACAUCACAGAUUCUUUUCUUGGUGCGUCAAAAUAUGCCCUCACAUUGGAGAGAUUUCUACCAACAUCUGCAACUGCUAGCUUCCAAAUCAUUGGCUUUAAGGAGUUCCAAGAUCACAACUCCAGAAAUCUUUGCGCAGAUGGCAUCUGAUACACGCAAACAUUUGCAUUGGCAAUGCAAGACAAACCUACAGCACCAGUUCCAUGCAGUAAUGGCCCCUGGAUGCUUUUUACCAUCUUCAGUUCAAUGUCAUGGUGCUAGUAAUUCUUCUCUGUGGCUCCCAAUUGAUUUGUUUCUAGAAGAUGCUAUGGAGGGGAUUAUAGUGACUCCGACAUGUGUCAUUGAUACACUUACUGGUAUGGUAAAAUCUCUCCAGGCACUUUACAGCACCACAUGGCAUGACACCUUCCUUGGCCUAUGGAUUGCAAUCCUACGACUUGUUCAAAGGGAGAAAAAUCCUUGUGAGGGUCCUGUAGCUCGUCUUGACACUUGCUUGUGCAUGUUAUUAUCCAUUACACCUCUUGUGCUUGUUAACCUUGUUGACGAGCAAAAUAUGGAGUCUGAGUUUAGUCAAAUGGAGGAUAAACAGGCUUCUAAAAGUCGUCUCCAUGAGUUGAUUUCCAGUUUGCAGCAGUUAGGUGAAUAUGAAGGCUUGUUGACUCCUCCUUCAUCUGUUGCUUCAAUCGCAAAUCAGGCUGCUAUCAAAGCUAUAAUGUAUCUUUCCGGUCUCAAUAUCACCAGUGGAUACCUCGAUUCUUUCAGUGUCAGUGAUGUACCAAUUAACUGUGCUGGGAAUAUGCGCCAUCUGAUAGUCGAGGCUUGCAUUGCUAGAAAUUUAUUGGACAUCUCAGCAUACGCUUGGCCCGGUUAUGUAAAUGCACGGGUCAACCAAAUUCCUCGUCUAUCUGGACAAGUUACUGGUUGGUCAUCGUUAAUGAAAGGUUCCCCUCUUACUUCUGCAUUGAUGAAUGCUCUGGUUUCCAGUCCUGCUUCAAGCUUAGCAGAGGUAGAGAAAAUAUAUGAGAUUGCAGUUGGCGGAUCAGAUGAGGAGAAGAUAUCUGCUGCCUCAGUUCUUUGUGGGUCAUCGCUGAUCCGUGGUUGGAAUGUGCAGGAGCACACUGUCCUUUUUCUUCUAAGGUUGCUGUCACCUCCCAUGCCAGCGGGGUAUUCUGAAAGUGAAAGUCAUUUGAUAAGUUAUGGACCAUUCUUGAAUGUUCUCCUUGUUGGAAUAGCAACAGUUGACAUUGUACAGAUAUUUUCACUCCAUGGUUUGGUUCCACAUCUUGCUGGAGAACUGAUGCCCAUUUGUGAGGUUUUUGGCUCUUGUUCGCCAAAGGUUUCAUGGACUCUUACAACAGGAGAGGAAAUAAAUUCUCAUGCAGUCUUCUCUAAUGCAUUUACCCUUCUUUUGAAAUUGUGGAGUUUUGAUCAUACUCCUAUUGAGCAAGCCAUGGGUGAUGUGCGAUCAGUUGCAUCCCAGCUAAGCCCAGAGUACCUCCUCUUAGUGAGGAAUUCUCAAUUAGCAUCAUUUGGCAAUGCAUCAACAGAUCAGAGUAAAGGCCGUAGAUUUUCAAAGCUGAUAACUCUGCCCUCCACUGAACCCAUAUUUAUGGAUUCUUUUCCCAAACUAAAAUGUUGGUAUAGACAGCACCAGGCUUGCAUUGCCUCUCCACUUUCUGGUCUUACACCAGGUACCCCUGUCCAUCAAAUUGUUGAGGCUCUCUUGACUAUGCUCUUCAAGAAAAUGAAUAGAGGCACAACUUCUGGAAGUACCAGUUCGUCUGGUUCAUCUAUGGAAGAGGCUGUACUUCGGCUGCAGCUACCUGCGUGGGAUAUCCUAGAAGCUCUUCCCUUUGUUCUAGAUGCGGCUUUAACAGCAUGUGCCCAUGAUAAGCUUUCUCCACGUGACCUAGCCACAGGGCUCAAGGAUCUUGCUGACUUUCUUCCAGCAUCUUUGGCAAGCAUAUUGAGCUACUUCACAGCCGAAGUAACAAGAGGAGUCUGGAAGCCAGUUUCUAUGAAUGGAACUGAUUGGCCAAGCCCUGCGGCUAAUUUAUCCAUGGUCGAACAACAGAUACGUAAAGUGUUGGCUACCACAGGCAUUGAUGUCCCCAGUCUGGCUACAGUGGGUAGCUCAAUUCCUACACUUCCUCUACCAUUAGCUGCACUGCUGAGCCUCACCAUAACUUACAAAAUUGAUAAAGCCAAUGAACGUUAUUUAAACUUGGUUGGGAGAGGAGUGGUCGUACUUGCAGCUUGCUGUCCUUGGCCCUGCAUGCCCAUCGUAGCAGCUCUUUGGGCUCAAAAGGCUAAGCGUUGGAGUGACUUCCUUAUCCAUUCUGCCUCACGCACUGUCUUUAACCUCAACAAUGAUGCUGUUGUGCAGCUUCUGAGGAGCUGUUUUUCCUCUGUCCUGGGGUUUAAUGCGUCCCCUAGAUGUAGAAAUGGAGGUGUUGGUGCUCUCCUUGGCAAUGGAUUUGGUUCCCGAUACUCCAAUGGGAUGUCCCCUGUUGCCCCUGGUAUCUUCUACCUACGUGUUUGUCCGUUCAUCAGAAACAUCACCUUUGUCACGGAAGAAAUUCUCUCUCUCCUGAUGGUGUCAGUGAAAGGUAUUGCGGUUGGUGGUUUAUCCAAUGACGCCAUAGAAAAGUUAAAGAAAAGUAAGUUUGGAAUGAGAUACAGACAAGUAUCUCUCACUUCUGCAAUGUCACGUGUCAAGCUUGCAGCUUCAGUUGGGGCAUCCUUUGUGUGGAUAUCUGGUGGGUUAAAUCUACUGCAAACUUUGCUUAAAGAAACGCUGCCCUCGUGGUUUAUAUCAACCCAGAGAACAGAUCACAUAUCAGAAUCAGGGGGUGUUGUUGCAACAUUAAGUGGUUAUGCAUUGGCUUACUUUGCUGUGCUUUGCGGCCUAUUUGCCUGGGGAAUCGAUGUAGAAUCAUCUGCCUCAAAAUGGAGAUCCAAGGUUCUUGCUUCCCACCUUGAAUUUAUGGCUACUGCUCUUGAAGGGAAGAUCUCCCUCGGAUGUGAUAUGGCCACGUGGAGGGCUUACGUUUCAGGUUUUUUGGGUUUGCUGGUAAGGUGCAUCCCUGCUUGGUUGCACGACAUUGACGUGCAUAUUUUGAAAAGCUUGAGUAGGGGUUUGAGGCAGUGGAAUGAAGAAGAAUUGGCUGUUGCUUUGGUGGGUGUUAGUGGCAUUAAUGCAAUGGGUGUUGCUGCUGAGUUGAUCAUUCAAAGUGCAUGAUAGGUUUCAUAUUGUUCUGUUUAGGACUAAUUUCUGGUCUCUAACAGCCUUGCAGUUUAGCGGCUUCAUCAGGCAGAAGUUUUAUCUUCGAGCUCGCUUUAUGAACAUGUCCGGUUUUCGACAACCCGAAGUCAGAGAUCUUAGCAACCCAGUUUUCAUCCAACAAUAUAUUAGUAGUCUUGACAUCGCGAUGAAUGAUUGUGUACUUUGAUCCAGUAUGAAGAUAAUGAAGACCUUUCGCAGCACCAAUCAACAUCUCUAAUCUUUGCUUCCAAGAUCAACAGAGAAAGCCCAUGUCAGAUUGAAAUUCAGGGUAAUGUUCGGGUCGGGUCCCAUAGACCUCCAUGUAUCAUAAACAUCAUAAGGUGCAAUAUAUUUAGGCAUACCUUGAUAAACCAGUCCUACAGUUUCAUUAUCUGCAGAGGUAACACCAGCAGCAGCCCCAAAGAUAUAGGGUGUGUCAUCAUACCAUGUCCUUAAUAAACCCGAAUCAUUUGUAGGAGGGAUAUAAUUUCCACCUACAUUCAA